CUGGUGUGGCUGUCGUACGACCGCGCGCGCGGAGAGUGGAGGUGGGUGCCGGUGCCGGACUGGGGCGGCGCCAAGGGCCUCAACAUGGCCGGCAUCGCCGUGUCGUCCACCUUCUCCCGUCUCUGGCCGCCGGCGCCAACCAUCUGCCGCUGAAGCGAACCGUGUCAUGUCUUGCCCGUACGUGUUGCUUGUGUCUGUACGUACGUACAGUGGGCAAGGUAGCGUGGGGGAUUAUCGUUCUUGGUUCUUGGGAGAGGUGUUUGGCCAGACGUGGCAACAAAGGCCCCCA
rnacentral:lncRNA from 1 species